ensembl:ncRNA F09C8.4 ncRNA
GAAUUGAAAAAUCUAAUAUCACUUCCGACGAAUGCGUACUUGGCGCCAAAGCGCGCGCGCGCAUCGAAGGUCAUUAGCUCGCCACCCAUAGCAACAAGAUGUCGAAUCGUUUCGAGGGCGGAGAUACAG